UACGUAGGGGGGCAAGCGUUUGUCCGGAUUUAUUGGGCGUAAAGAGCGUGUAGGCGGUUUGGUAGGUCCGGUGUGAAAACUCGAGGCUUAACCUCGAGAUGUCAUCGGAAACCAUCUGGCUAGAGUCCGGAAGAGGAAAGUGGAAUUCCUGGUGUAGCGGUGAAAUGCGCAGAUAUCAGGAAGAACACCAAUGGCGAAAGCAGCUUUCUGGGACGGUACUGACGCUGAGACGCGAAAGCGUGGGGAGCGAACAGG
rnacentral:rRNA from 1 species